CCUACGGGAGGCAGCAGUGGGGAAUAUUGGUCAAUGGACGAAAGUCUGAACCAGCAACGUAGCGUGAAGGAUGACGGCUCUCGGGUUGGUAACCUUCAUUUAUAUGGGAGUAAGAUGUUCCGCGUGUGGAAUUUUGUGUGUACCAUAUGAAUAAGCAACGGCUAACUACGUUCCGGCAGCCGCGGUAAUACGGAGGAGCCGAGCGUUAUCCGGAUUGAGUGGGUUUAAAGGGAGCGUAGGUGGAUUGGUAAGUGAGUUGUGAAAGGUUGAGGCUCAACGUAUGAACUGCAUUUGAAACUGGCAAACUGGAGUGUGUGAGAGGAUAGUGGAAUUCCAGGUGUAGGAGUGAAAUCCGUAGAUAUCUGGAGGAACAUCAGUGGCGAAGGCGACUAUCUGGCACAUAACUGACGCUGAGGCGCGAAAGCGUGGGUAGCAAACAGGAUUAGAUACCCCAGUAGUC
rnacentral:rRNA from 1 species